rnacentral:rRNA from 1 species
CCUACGGGUGGCCGCAGUGGGGAAUAUUGGACAAUGGGCGAAAGCCUGAUCCAGCCAUGCCGCGUGUGUGAAGAAGGCCUUCGGGUUGUAAAGCACUUUCAGUGGGGAAGAAAGCCUUGGGGCUAAUACCCUCGAGGAAGGACAUCACCCACAGAAGAAGCACCGGCUAACUCCGUGCCAGCAGCCGCGGUAAUACGGAGGGUGCGAGCGUUAAUCGGAAUUACUGGGCGUAAAGCGCGCGUAGGCGGUCUGAUAAGCCGGUUGUGAAAGCCCCGGGCUCAACCUGGGAACGGCAUCCGGAACUGUCAGGCUAGAGUGCAGGAGAGGAAGGUAGAAUUCCCGGUGUAGCGGUGAAAUGCGUAGAGAUCGGGAGGAAUACCAGUGGCGAAGGCGGCCUUCUGGACUGACACUGACGCUGAGGUGCGAAAGCGUGGGUAGCAAACAGGAUUAGAUACCCCUGUAGUC